UACGUAGGGGGCAAGCGUUGUCCGGAUUUACUGGGCGUAAAGCGCGUGUAGGCGGAAGCGAAAGUCCGGUGUGAAAGCCCCCCGCUCAACGGGGGAAGGUCGCUGGAAACUGCGCUUCUUGAGGGCGGCAGAGGGAAGUGGAAUUGCUGGUGUAGCGGUGAAAUGCGUAGAUAUCAGGAGGAACACCGGUGGUGUAGACGGCUCACUGGACCGUAACUGACGCUGAGACACGAAAGCGUGGGUAGCAAACAGG
rnacentral:rRNA from 1 species